UGAAAAUUUGAGUGAGUUUAUUCUGAGCUAAAAUGUGAGGAUUAUAACCCGGGAGAGUCUUUCCACAAAGGAACAGAGCACUCCAAAGAAGUAGGGGUAUACAGGGUGGUUAUAUACCCUCAAAGAGGGUGUUUCACAUAUGAUUGAAAUGUCCCUUUUACAAUAGUCACGAGGCUGCUCUGUCGGCACAGUUAUUGAUGGAAACGGCAGAUAGGGCUGCUGUCUCGGUGAACGCCGCAGGCUGGCAGGUCUGUUGCCUCGGGCUGGGCGGUCACAGAUGAGCGCUGCAAUCAGUUCCCAGCCUAAGGAAAGAUGCUUAAUCUUUAAGGAGAUGCCAACGUCGGGAGGGGGAGGGAAGUUGCACCUUUAUCUGAAAAUGUCUGAGCAGAUAUACAAUGCAUGCUCAAUGGCCACAGUCAGGCCCUUUUGGAAAAAACAAAGUCAGGCCAAAUUAGGUUUAUACCAAAUGGCUUCCUCAUAUACUCCAAUGUAUCCCAUUGCUUGCCAUUUCAAUUUGUCAAUCCGAACCCAUGAACACCAGGCCACCGAAGCAGAGAAUGAGAACUUAACCACUAUGCCACCAGGUCAGCCCCUAAAUUUUGUUGAAUGCAUGAAUAAAUGCCUUGCAUAAAUGGUCAUCAGAAGUUUCAAGCUGCAGAAACUGAGCUGCUUGAGAUGUCAGUGCAGGCACCGGAAUGCAGAGCUGUGUGUCUGCAGAACCCUCCCUUAGAACAAACGGCUGCCGCCAGCCUCCCCGCUCCGGCCAGGCCGGUUCUUGGCCCCGCCCUCCUGGCGCCGCUCCCGCGCCUGUCGGCCGGCAGGUCUCCGGGGAGCUCCCAGGAAAAGCCCGCCCUGACCCCCUGGGUCUCAGAAGGGACUCCUCUGGGCUCCCACCACCGGAGCGACCUCAUUCUGGCACAUUUAGGGCGGCCCGUGUUUGUGUCACCUCCCCAACCACACGGGGAGCCUCUUGAGACUCUGGCUCAGGGCAAACCCACUGGAGUUGGAGUUUGGCCACCCUCUCAUUUGCUACCGUCAUUGUCAUCACCAAUGUCACCACUGUCCUCAGAGCUCAGUCUCCAGUCUCGCCUCCUCCAGCCAGCCACACGCCUGCAGACAUCACCGGCCCAGCCUCCGCAAGGUAUUCCUGAAAGCCUCUUCGCAUUCCUGGCUCAUUCUCGAAAUUCAGGUCAAAGCUCGGUUGCCACCUCCUCAGAGAGGCCAUCCCUGACCAUCCCACCUGAAGCGGCCACACACCCCUGGCCGUCCAUCCUCCAUCCCUUCACCUUUAUUUCCUCCAUAGCACUCACCACAAACUGAAAGUCU
rnacentral:lncRNA from 1 species